GCACAAGCGGUGGAGCAUGUGGUUAAUUCGAAGCAACGCGAAGAACCUUACCAGGUCUUGACAUCCCGAUGCUAUUUCUAGAGAUAGAAAGUUACUUCGGUACAUCGGUGACAGGUGGUGCAUGGUUGUCGUCAGCUCGUGUCGUGAGAUGUUGGGUUAAGUCCCGCAACGAGCGCAACCCCUAUUGUUAGUUGCCAUCAUUCAGUUGGGCACUCUAGCGAGACUGCCGGUAAUAAACCGGAGGAAGGUGGGGAUGACGUCAAAUCAUCAUGCCCCUUAUGACCUGGGCUACACACGUGCUACAAUGGGCGGUACAAAGGGUAGCGAUGCCGCGAGGUGAAGCCAAUCCCAAAAAGCCGUCCACAGUUCGGAUUGGAGUCUGCAACUCGACUCCAUGAAGCCGGAAUCGCUAGUAAUCGUGGAUCAGCAUGCCACGGUGAAUACGUUCCCGGGCCUU
rnacentral:rRNA from 1 species